CCAGCUCCAAUAGCGUAUAUUAAAGUUGUUGCAGUUAAAAAGCUCGUAGUUGAAUGUGGAGUGGUGGUGCGGGGUGAGUCGAAAGACUACACUCGACAUUUGCACCGUCACUCUCUGAAAGCGAUUGGCCGGUGUGUUGCCUGUGAGGGUGAUGCAUGUGUGUUGAUGGUGAAUGAUUACUUUGACGAAAUUAGAGUGUUUAUGGCAGGCUGUGAAGCUUGAAUAUAUUAGCAUGGAAUAAUGAAAUAGGACCAGUUGUUCUGUUUCGUUGGUUUGAGGAUGACGGUAAUGAUGAAUAGGGACAGUUGGGGGCAUUAGUAUUUCAUAGUCAGAGGUGAAAUUCUUGGAUUUAUGAAAGACUGACUGAUGCGAAAGCGUUUGCCAAGGAUGUUCCCA
rnacentral:rRNA from 1 species